rnacentral:rRNA from 1 species
AUUGAACGCUGGCGGCAGGCCUAACACAUGCAAGUCGAACGAGUGGCGGACGGGUGAGUAAUGUCUGGGAAACUGCCCGAUGGAUGGGGAUAACUACUGGAAACGGUAGCUAAUACCGCAUACCAUCGGAUGUGCCCAGAUGGGAUUAGCUAGUAGGUGGGGUAAAGGCUCACCUAGGCGAAGAUCCCUAGCUGGUCUGAGAGGAUUACCAGCCACACUGGAACUGCGACACGGUCCAGACUCCUACGGGAGGCAGCAGUGGGGAGUAUGGCACAAUGGGCGCAAGCCUGAUGCAGCCAUGCCGCGUGUAUGAAGAAGGCCUUCGGGUUGUAAAGUACUUUCAGCGAGGAGGCGUUACUCGCAGAAGAAGCACCGGCUAACUCCGUGCCAGCAGCCGCGGUAAUAC